rnacentral:rRNA from 1 species
GUAAUACCUGCCCACUGAGUAUUUAAAUGGCCGCGGUAUUUUGACCGUGCAAAGGUAGCAUAAUCAUUAGUCUUCUAAUUAAGGACUGGUAUGAAGGGUAAGACGAGGUACAAACUGUCUCAAUGGAAAUUAAGAAUUUACCUUUUUAGUGAAAAGGCUAAAAUAUAAUUAAAGGACGAGAAGACCCUAUAGAACUUUAUAAUUUAUUAAUGAAUCUUUUAGGCUAAGAUUAGGGUUAUAUUAAGAAUUUAUUACGUUGGGGUGAUGGGGUAAUAACUAAACUUACUCUUAAUAGAACAUUUAUAGAUGUUAAUUAGAACCAUGUAUAAUGAUUAAAAAAUUAAGUUACCUUAGGGAUAACAGCGUAAUCUUUUUAGAGAGCUCAAAUCGAUAAAAAGGGUUGCGACCUCGAUGUUGGAUUAAAGAUUACCUUGGGUGUAGCAGCUUAAGGUUAGGGUCUGUUCGAC